rnacentral:sRNA from 1 species
ACUCGAGCGAAGCGAGAGAACGUUGCCGCAGGCAAUGGCCCGAAGGCGAGGCGCUUUAGCGCCGAGUAAUCCUUCCCCCACCACUG